ACAAAAACAUUUCUGGUGGUAUGCAUCUUGACUUAAAGCCCCGGCCGAAAAAACCGCCCCAUGAAGUGUCAGUGUCUGUUCAUUGCAGCUGUUCUUUCUGAUCCGCCUGAUCUCUUAUUCAAGCCAGUUCAUGAUAUGCAAAUCUGAACAAUACGCAAGUUAAAUAAGACUGGCAGUUUACUGCAGGGGAAGUUAACAAACACUUUACUCGGCUAGUUGUUGAGAUUGCGUUUCCAUAUAUGAAAUUAAUCAUGAAUCAAAUGCUUUUAACUGUAUUUGUCAUUUUGCCAUGUGUUCAUAGCAUCUCAUUGACCUCGUCUCCUGCACAGAUUAAAACUCCAGGUGAUUCAGUCAGGUUGUCCUGUCAGAUCUCAGGUUAUGCCCUCAGUGACUAUGGCACAGCAUGGAUCAGACACACUCCUGGAAAUCCCUUGCAGUGGAUCGGGAUCAUAUGGGGUAGCGGAUCAAUAGACUCUGGAAAUUCCUUCAAGAGUCGGUUCAGUAUUUCCAGAGACACCAGCCGUAAUGAGCUGUACUUAGACAUCAGCAGCCUGCAGACUGAGGACACAGCUGUGUAUUACUGUGCAAAGACUCACAGUAGCUCAGCUGAGGGGGAGAAACUAACAAAAACAGAUCAACAGUUCAUUCAAGUGCCCAGGUGA